rnacentral:tRNA from 2 species
GGGUGCGUGGUGUAGUCUGGAUAUCAUGCUGGCCUUCUAAGCCGGUGACCCGGGUUCGAAUCCUGGCGCGCCCACCA